AUGCACGCUGGCGGCGUGCCUCAUACAUGCAAGUCGCGCGAACAGACGAGGAGCUUGCUCCUUUGACGUUAGCGGCGGACGGGUGAGUAACACGUGGGUAACCUACCUAUAAGACUGGGAUAACUUCGGGAAACCGGAGCUAAUACCGGAUAAUAUUUCGAACCGCAUGGUUCGAUAGUGAAAGAUGGCUUUGCUAUCACUUAUAGAUGGACCUGCGCCGUAUUAGCUAGUUGGUAAGGUAACGGCUUACCAAGGCAACGAUACGUAGCCGACCUGAGAGGGUGAUCGGCCACACUGGAACUGAGACACGGUCCAGACUCCUACGGGAGGCAGCAGUAGGGAAUCUUCCGCAAUGGGCGAAAGCCUGACGGAGCAACGCCGCGUGAGUGAUGAAGGUCUUCGGAUCGUAAAACUCUGUUAUUAGGGAAGAACAAACGUGUAAGUAACUGUGCACGUCUUGACGGUACCUAAUCAGAAAGCCACGGCUAACUACGUG
rnacentral:rRNA from 1 species